rnacentral:lncRNA from 1 species
CUUUAUUGUAUGACAUUUAAACCAUACAGGAGAAAUCCUGUAAGAAAAAUGAAUAUCAGGAAAUUUCUGUCAGGGUAGCCAUCAUAAGUGAGGAAUUUCUAUCAGUAUCCUGAGCAUUCAGAAAUCUUUUUAUACCAGUUGGACUCAUUAGCACAUUCUAAAAGGAGAUAAUCACAAAGAUUAAAACAUACAUGGAAGGCUUUAUCAAGAAGUGAUGUUUCAGUGAAUGUCAGAUCAGUGAUAUAAAGUAUAGAAACUGUGGUAUCAUUAACACAUGUGAAAAGUCCUUUAGUAUGUAGGACUUACGUGUGAAUGUCAGUGUGCUACAGAACACAGAUUGUGGAUGUUUGAUGUGCACGUGAACCCAUCCAUAACUGUACAUAGUGAAAUAUGUAGCCUUGUUUAUUUCAGUAACUUUUAUGUGUAUGAAGAUAUCUCUCAUUUAGUCUCAGCAGGGACUCCUGUUGUUAACAGAAUGUAUAUUUAAGUGUAGUAUUCUUUUAAAAUUAUAAUGUGUCUUUUUCCCCCUCUUUCUGAAUGGAUAUGGAUUUUACUGAACUAACCCUUCAG